ACGAUGAAGCCUCUUCGGGGGUGGAUUAGUGGCGAACGGGUGAGUAACACGUGAGUAACCUGCCCUUCACUUCAGGAUAAGCCUUGGAAACGGGGUCUAAUACUGGAUAUGACUCAGGCCCGCAUGGGUUUGGGUGGAAAGAUUUUUUGGUGGGGGAUGGGCUCGCGGCCUAUCAGCUUGUUGGUGAGGUAGUGGCUUACCAAGGCGACGACGGGUAGCCGGCCUGAGAGGGUGACCGGCCACACUGGGACUGAGACACGGCCCAGACUCCUACGGGAGGCAGCAGUGGGGAAUAUUGCACAAUGGGCGCAAGCCUGAUGCAGCGACGCCGCGUGAGGGAUGAAGGCCUUCGGGUUGUAAACCUCUUUCGUCAGGGAAGAAGCGAAAGUGACGGUACCUGAAGAAGAAGCACCGGCUAACUACGUGCCAGCAGCCGCGGUAAUACGUAGGGUGCGAGCGUUGUCCGGAAUUAUUGGGCGUAAAGAGCUUGUAGGCGGUUUGUCGCGUCUGCCGUGAAAACCUAGGGCUUAACUCUGGGCGUGCGGUGGGUACGGNCAGGCUAGAGUGUGG
rnacentral:rRNA from 1 species